rnacentral:tRNA from 1 species
GCUAAGAUAGUUAAAUGAAUAACUAAACUUUGAAGAAGUUUUAUUGGGUGUUAAAUUCUCUCUCUUAGCA